rnacentral:rRNA from 1 species
AGAGUUUGAUCCUGGCUCAGGAUGAACGCUAGCGGCAGGCCUAAUACAUGCAAGUCGAACGGUGAUAGCAAUAUCAUAGUGGCGCACGGGUGCGUAACACGUAUGCAACCUACCUUAUACUGAGGGAUAGCCUUUCGAAAGGGAGAUUAAUACCUCAUAACACAUUGAACUGGCAUCAGUUUAUUGUUAAAGAUUUAUUGGUAUAAGAUGGGCAUGCGUCCAAUUAGUUAGUUGGCGAGGUAACGGCUCACCAAGACGAUGAUUGGUAGGGGAACUGAGAGGUUAAUCCCCCACACUGGCACUGAGAUACGGGCCAGACUCCUACGGGAGGCAGCAGUAGGGAAUAUUGGGCAAUGGAGGCAACUCUGACCCAGCCAUGCCGCGUGCGGGAAGAAGGCGUUAUGCGUUGUAAACUGCUUUUAUAUAGGAAGAAAUAGUCCUUGCGAGGAAAGUUGACGGUACUAUAUGAAUAAGCACCGGCUAACUCCGUGCCAGCAGCCGCGGUGAUACAUAGGCUUCAAGCGUUGUCCGGAUUUAUUGGGCGUAAAGAGUUCGUAGGCGGU